UCCCUGCUGGCUCAGACAGUAAAGCAUCUGCCUGCAAUGCGGGAGACCUGGGUUCAAUCCCUGGGUCAGGAA
rnacentral:tRNA from 1 species